CGUUGAAACACCGGUUCUCGUACGAUCAUCGAAGUUAAGCAACGUCGAGCCUGGUCAUUAUUUAGAUGGGUGACCGCUAGGGAAUAACAGGUGGUGCAAG
rnacentral:rRNA from 1 species